rnacentral:rRNA from 1 species
AACGAACGCUGGCGGCAGGCUUAACACAUGCAAGUCGAACGGUGUAGCAAUACACAGUGGCGCACGGGUGAGUAACGCGUGGGAAUAUGCCCUUUAGUAAGGAAUAACGUCGGGAAACUGACGCUAAUACCUUAUACGCCCUUCGGGGGAAAGAUUUAUCGCUAAAGGAUUAGCCCGCGUGAGAUUAGGUAGUUGGUGGGGUAAUGGCCUACCAAGCCGACGAUCUCUAGCUGGUCUGAGAGGAUGAUCAGCCACACUGGAACUGAGACACGGUCCAGACUCCUACGGGAGGCAGCAGUGGGGAAUAUUGGGCAAUGGAGGAAACUCUGACCCAGCCAUGCCGCGUGAGUGAUGAAGGCCCUAGGGUUGUAAAGCUCUUUCGUUGGUGACGAUAAUGACGGUAACCAAAGAAGAAGCCCCGGCUAACUUCGUGCCAGCAGCCGCCGCCG